rnacentral:rRNA from 1 species
GAGUUUGAUCGUGGCUCAGAUUGAACGCUGGCGGCAUGCCUUACACAUGCAAGUCGAACGGCAGCACGGGAGCUUGCUCCUGGUGGCGAGUGGCGAACGGGUGAGUAAUGCAUCGGAACGUAUCCUGGAGUGGGGGAUAACGUAGCGAAAGUUACGCUAAUACCGCAUAUUCUGUGAGCAGGAAAGCGGGGGACCUUCGGGCCUCGCGCUCUUGGAGCGGCCGAUGUCGGAUUAGCUAGUUGGUGAGGUAAAGGCUCACCAAGGCGACGAUCCGUAGCAGGUCUGAGAGGAUGAUCUGCCACACUGGAACUGAGACACGGUCCAGACUCCUACGGGAGGCAGCAGUGGGAAUUUUGGACAAUGGGGGCAACCCUGAUCCAGCCAUGCCGCGUGAGUGAAGAAGGCCUUCGG